rnacentral:rRNA from 1 species
GUAGGUGGGCAAGCGUUGUCCGGAAUUAUUGGGCGUAAAGCGCGCGCAGGGCGGUCCUUUAAGUCUGAUGUGAAAGCCGACGGCUCAACCGUGGAGGGUCAUUGGAAACUGGAGAACUUGAGUACAGAAGAGGAAAGCGGAAUUCCACGUGUAGCGGUGAAAUGCGUAGAGAUGUGGAGGAACACCAGUGGCGAAGGCGGCUUUCUGGUCUGUAACUGACGCUGAGGCGCGAAAGCGUGGGGAACAAACAGGAUUAGAUACCCUGGUAGUCCACGCCGUAAACGAUGAGUGCUAAGUGUUAGGGGGUUUCCGCCCCUUAGUGCUGCAGCUAACGCAUUAAGCACUCCGCCUGGGGAGUACGACCGCAAGGUUG